GACAGAGGCCUCAAGCGUUACGGCGGAAUCACUGGGCUUAAAGCGUGUGUAGGCGGAUCGUUAAGUGUCUUGUGAAAUCCCACGGCUCACCCGUGGAACUGCUGGGCAGUACUGGCGAUCUUGGGCCAACUAGGGGCAACUGGAACAAGCGGUGGAGCGGUGAAAUGCGUAGAUAUCGCUUGGGAACGCCUAACGGUGAAAACAGGUUGCUGGGGUUGUGACCGACGCGUGAGACACGAAAGCCAGGGAGCAAACGGG
rnacentral:rRNA from 1 species